rnacentral:tRNA from 1 species
GAGGGUAUAGCUCAGUGGUAGAAUGUACACUUAGCAAGCAUGAUGUCCUGGGUUCAAAUCCCAGUACUUCUA